rnacentral:rRNA from 1 species
GACGUAGGGGGCGAGCGUUGCCCGGAAUUACUGGGCGUAAAGGGGGCGUAGGCGGUCAAAUAAGUCAGAUGUGAAAUACUACUGCUCAACGGUAGAAAUGCGUUUGAAACUGUAAGACUUGAGGGUACCAAAGGUAGACGGAAUUACCUGAGUAGGGGUGAAAUCCGUAGAUACAGGUAAGAACGCCAGUGGGGAAGCCGGUCUACUGGGGUAACCCUGACGCUGAGGCCCGAAAGCUAGGGGAGCGAACCGG